GCAUCAGGGAGCGACCAGCGCAUCACAGCAACAGUCUCACGCUGAGUCACGGCUCCUUCCCGCACCUCUUAAACCCCCUCUCCUCCUACAAUAAAGUGCAAAUACAGCCAAUCAAGACGGGAAAAAGGCUCGUGCAGGCGCUGAAGGAGGAGUGUGACGCCGUUUUGAACCAGGAGGCUGCGUGGAAGUGUUCGGAUUAGGGGCCCCCUUCCCCACCGGCCUCGUAUUUGGCCUCUGCGCACCCUAGGCAGUAAAUUUCGGACGGAUGUAAAAACCAGUUAUUGCGUGUGAUCCAGUGCCUCGUAUACUAACUACACACCGAGAUAUCCACCUACUCUGCCACUGGGUGUGGCCAGUAGUUGGAUUGGUGACCAUCACAAGACGACCCACUCGGGGCUGGCUUUGGCAGGAGGGUCAAUAAAUCAAUUGUAUCCAGAAUGGUUUAAUAAUACUCUGCUCAUCUCAACACCAGAAAUGUACAUUGAAUGUCAACACCCAAUCAUAACCUCCAGCAUUUGACAGAAAUACUGGAUGCAUAUGGUAUAAAAGAUUCCAAUGAUGAUGCGAAGCAUAUAUUAGAAAUACCACAAAUGCAGUAUCGGCAUCCUGCAUCUUGGUCGUUAUUUUAAUCUGCUGUAAAUUACAUCUAGUUCAUAGUGUUAUAGCAAUAUAAGUGAAACUCUACAUAUUGCCUGCCAAAGCCAUAAAUGCCCAAACACUCUUGAAUUCUAAAAUACAGCUGGAAAAAAUCAUCAGGGCAAAUGGGACCUUUGACAAGCCACCAGCUUCCUGUCCCCAUCAAGGCCACUAGAGUGUUAGUGGCUCCUCAGGUAAAUAUUAUAGAUGAAAGUCAAUGGAAUUAUAGUUUGUCCUCGACUUCAUAAUACUGUAUGUAGCAUCCUUAGAAGCUUUAUUGCUG
rnacentral:misc_RNA from 1 species